rnacentral:lncRNA from 1 species
UUUAUUCGUUUCAGCUGUUUUUGUUCUGCUCUUAUAAACGCAUGCAUCUUCCAAUUCUUUAUGACGAGAAUCAUCAUACUUUGCAAUAUUUGUGGUAAAAUGUUCUACAUAGUCAACCAUUCGAAGCGCUCGGUAUGACUUUUCAGGAUUAGAUCUAUAUGAUGUCAAUUUUUGAAUGGUGCGGGCGUUGUUGCCCGCGCUACCGUAUUAAAUGAACGUCAAGGUGAAGUUGUAAAUUGGUAAUCAGUAAUUAGUUUACUGAUUGGUGUCGCAGUUAACGAAUUCGUUAGCAACUGUUGUCCCUCUCCUAUUUCGGCGAUUUCUGCUAUUAAUCACCGUACAUGUUACACGGGCAUUCGUCGCAAAUGAGACUUGCCCACAGGCAAAAUUUCAACUAAAGAAUCAGUAUGAAGUAUAUAUUACCUACGUUCUUCCUUUGGCUUUAAUUUAAAUUGUCAGUUUAGUUUACAUUAAUAGUGUUAUGUCGAGAAUCAUAACAGAAAUUACCACACAGUACCAUAGGAGUUCAUGUUUAGAAUAUGGAUUCUAAACACUUUUUUUACGCCUUCACAAGUAUCUGAACCACAAUGUAAGUCAGUCGAUGUAGCGAUAAUUCGAAAUAUCAGUGAAAAGGGAACUGGAAAAGUUGUCACAUCGUCUUUACACAGUCUUCGUCAGAAGUAAGACACAGUUCCCAUUUGGAUUAGUGGAUGCUGCAUGUACCCAGCCACAUCUAGAAGAGAUAAUCGCGAAGAUUCAAAAUGACUCUUGAAGAAUUCCCAGAGCCAUAGUUGAUAAUAAAGUGUGCAAAAUGAGUAUUGGUACAGUGCGUAACUGAAGACAUUAUGUAAUUAGAAAGGGAUGAUAAAUAAAUGUGAACUAUACUGUAAUUGAAUAACGAAAAUUCCAUUCUGAUCUUUCAUCCUAUUUCCCCAAAAUUUUCUGCCAUAUAUUUAAUGAUAAAGGCCUGCUAGAUUCUCGUACUCAUCACUGUAUCCCUCCCACCUUUAAUGUUGGUUGUGAUGACAGACUGACCUGUAGCUAAGCCCAAGGUCUAGGUUAGGUCGGAAACUUGCGUGUUUUAAGAUUGAUGAUGUGCACGUCAAAACAGUGGAAUGUACUGAUCUUACUGUUACAGGUUGAAAUUGGAAAUUGUACUAACGGAAAAUUUUGAGAUACAGACAAAAGUUUAGCUGAGUAUUGUACUGUUGCAAAAAAUAUCCGCCUUUUGAAUAGAGCUGUUAAACAUUUGCACGAGAUGCGAGAGCCUUCUGUUGCAUGCCGUGAGCCACAGCCACAGCACAAUCAUCAAGAGCGGCCUCCCACAAAAAGAAGGAAAGGUACAACAAAUGACGUUGUGGAGGCCACCAGGACACUGAAGGCUGUGGCUGAUACGGCCGGAACUCUGCCCCAGCCUGUCCAAGGAGACCAAUACAGUGCCCUUGCCACCCACAUCGCAGCUGAACUGUGUGAGAUGGAUAAUGUGGGUAGUAAGAAAUUUACAACUGCCGGAAGUCACGGUUUGCAGUGGUAUUUGAUGGACGGGUGGGAUUUGCUGCAUUUGACAACACAACAAGCACGACCAUCCACCUCUGGGUAUAUCCAGGCUGCCUUGCAGCAGGCUGGUAUAGAAGAGAAUACCGUAUAAUUUUUUUGUAGCUCUCCAAUCUUC